AUGUCCCACUGCUCUGAGCUGCCUCUGCAGCUAAGCACAGCAGCUUGGAGAGAAGACGGGGUGAGAAGCCCCUGGCUUGGUCUCGAAGGCUCACAGGACUUCCCCUCUGUGGCAGAGAGAAGGCAAUCCCUCAGUGGGGCUGCCAGGUCUGCGGGCUCACAACAGUCUCAUCGUCCUUCCUACAAGGGCUCUAUGAGGAUUUCUCCACCUGCUUCUCUGAGUCUGCUGUGCCCCCUCUGCACACCACUCUGGGCCCAGGAAGGUGACCUCUAUGGACUCCCUGCCCCAACUCCCUUUUCCUCCUGCUUGGAGAUCAGUUCACAGUGAGAGGUACCAGUAGGAGCCUGGAACACUGGAGGAAAGAGUGUGGGGUAUGUCAUGCCCCACAAAGAGUGUGGAAGGGUCAUGCCCCUAGCAGGCCGGGACAUGGCAGGCUCUCAGCUCCUCUAGCUGUGCACCACUCCUUUGGCUGCCCCCACCCCAGACUUUACCUAGCCUCAGGCAAUCAGUCCCCUCCCCUGGCCAUGCAUGGAGUCCUUUUCAUGUGGCAGCCGUGUGCCCACUGCUGAGGGCACAGUGGAGGAUAAGAGCUUCCUGAGCUGCUAGUUCCGGGGCACUUCACCGUCCUCUGUGGGCUCUCUCAACCCUACGCGUGCCUUUGUCCAUAGCUCUGCACUGCAUGUGUGUGCUCAGUCACUAAGUUGUGUCCGACUCUCUGCAACUGUAGCCCUCCAGGUUCCUGUGUCUGUGGAAUUCUCCCGGCAAGAAUACUGAAGUGGUUGCCAUGACCUCCUCCAGGGGAUUUUCCUGAUCCAAGGAUCGAACCAGCAUCUCAUGUCUCCUGCAUUAGCAGGUGGGUUCUUUACCACUAGUGCCACCUGGGAAGCUCUGCCUUAAAUGGCUCCACAGCAGACCCCUGCAAUGUCCACUUGGCCCUGCAGCUUUCUCCUCCUACGACCCAGACUCAUUCAGACUCCAGCUGAUUCGCCUCUACUGCUGUGUCCAAGGUGUUCAGUUGGCCUCUGUGAUGGCUCCCUGGCCCCAGUUUCCAGUCUUCCAAGUAGGGAAGUAAUAACCCACAUGCUCUGCUUGUUGUUUAAAAAU
rnacentral:lncRNA from 1 species